rnacentral:rRNA from 1 species
ACGGGGGAGCAGCGUUAUCCGGAAUCAUUGGGCGUAAAGCGCCUGUAGGUUGUUUAAUAAGUCUGUUGUUAAAGACUGGGGCUUAACCCCAGGAAAGCAAUGGAAACUACUAGACUAGAGUAUGGUAGGGGUAAAGGGAAUUUCUAGUGUAGCGGUGAAAUGCGUAGAUAUUAGAAAGAACACCGGUGGCGAAAGCGCUUUACUGGACCAUUACUGACACUCAGAGGCGAAAGCUAGGGUAGCCAAAGGGAUUAGAUACCCCUGUAGUCCUAGCCGUAAACGAUGGAUACUAGAUGUUGCGCUUAUUGUGCAGUGUCGUAGCUAACGCGUUAAGUAUCCCGCCUGGGGAGUACGAUCGCAAGGUUGAAACUCAAAGGAAUUGACGGGGGCCCGCACAAGCGGUGGAGCAUGUGGUUUAAUUCGAUGCAACGCGAAGAACCUUACCAGGGCUUGACAUACUGCAAAUUUUCUUGAAAGAGAAAAGUGCCUUCGGGAAUGCAGAUACAGGUGGUGCAUGGCUGUCGUCAGCUCGUGUCGUGAGAUGUUGGGUUAAGUCCCGCAACGAGCGCAACCCUCGUUUUUAGUUGCCAUUUUAUGGGUUCUCUAGAAAGACUGCCGGUGACAAACCGGAGGAAGGUGGGGAUGACGUCAAGUCAGCAUGCCCCUUAUGCCCUGGGCUACACACGUGCUGCAAUGGCUAAGACAAAGAGUCGCGAAUUCGCGAGAAUCAGCUAAUCUCAUAAAC